rnacentral:snRNA from 1 species
GUGCUUGCUUCAUCAGCACAAAUAGUAAAAUUGGAACACUACAGAGAUAAGCAUAAAUCCAGUGCAAGGACGAACUGUUCCAGACUUAA